rnacentral:rRNA from 1 species
UACGUAGGGUGCAAGCGUUGUCCGGAAUUAUUGGGCGUAAAGAGCUCGUAGGCGGUUUUGUUGCGUCGGCUGUGAAAUCCCGAGGCUCAACCUCGGGUCUGCAGUCGAUACGAGCAAACUAGAGUGUUGCAGGGGAGACUGGAAUUCCUGGUGUAGCGGUGAAAUGCGCAGAUAUCAGGAGGAACACCGGUGGCGAAGGCGGGUCUCUGGGCAACAACUGACGCUGGAGGAGCGGAAAAGCGUGGG